GGAAGUAAAGUCGUAACAAGGUCUCCGUUGGUGAACCAGCGGAGGGAUCAUUACAGGAUCGAAAGACUCCUAUAACCCCUGUGAACUUACUACAAAUACGUUGCUUCGGCGGGUGCCCCGGGUCUCCCGGGGCGUUCAGCCCGCCGGCAGCCUUCAAAUUCUGUUUCUUUGCGUUGGCAUCUCGAGUAUACAAAAAUAAGUUAAAACUUUCAACAACGGAUCUCUUGGUUCUG
rnacentral:misc_RNA from 1 species